rnacentral:lncRNA from 1 species
UAGACUCCAAUUUGACUGAAACAUGCCUAACAAGUUCCCUAAUCACUAGCUCUUCAUUCCUGUAGUUCUUCAUGUCCCAACUAGAAAGAUCGGGAAUUUCUUUCAACCCAUUUCUCCAUUGUUGUUGUGUGGGUGAGAAAAAGGCGGUGGAAUCAAUAAGAGCUUUGUUGAGAUGGGGUGUGAAGCUCUUUCCUGUAUCUUCAUCACAGAAGUUCAGGAAAACUGCAAUGGAUUUGAUUAGG